UGUGCAUUAGGAAGCAUGAGAGGCUAAGAUGCAAUUUAGAGAAAAUUGCAACUUUGGGCCCAAAGGUUUGAAUAAUUAAAUUCAAACCUAUAGUUUUUUUUAAUAUAAUUUUGGGACUCACAAUCCCAUUUUUAUAUUAUUUUUCUCUCUUCCUCUCACGUUGCUCGGCGUUUUCUCGCAAGGGGGGAUUAUUUUCUUUUUUCUUCAGAUUAUAUUGACAAAGAUAGUGGUGAAAAAGGAGUUGUGAAGGGGAACUUGUUAUUCAAGACACAAGGAGCGAGUCCGGCCGAGAAAGCACCAGAGGUGUAACUGUGGUGUAUGAGACACCAUCUUUUACGUUGCCUCUUAUUUUAGAUUAUACAAUGUAUCUUGUGCCAACUUAGGACAUAUCUUCUUUGUGAAGCAUGUAAACUCUAAUCCUUUUUAUUAAAAGUAUUUAUAUGACCAAGAGGAUUAUGUCUGUCCCUCUUGAUUUAUGAUCU